rnacentral:rRNA from 1 species
GUUUCUAUCUAUGAAGUAUUUCCUUCUAGUACGAAAGGAUCGAAGAAAAGGGGCCCAUGCUCAAAGUAAGCCCUCCCCUAACCUAAUGACAACAACUUAAUUAGGUAAAGAUCACCCCCCCCCCCGCCGAAAAUAACGGUU